AUUUGAUCGCUAAAAUACCGUGAAAUUUUAGUGCUUUGGAUAAACUCUGCAACACAGUAAAUUUUCAAACAAUGGAGAACCCUGAACAAGUAACAAGCUACUAAAACUACUAACGUCUGCUAAAUGUUGUGUGACGCGUCUAGUGUGUUGGUGUUAGUGUCUGUGUGCUUGUCACCUCUCGCUUUCAUCCAUCACCGCUGGCUAGCAGCAAUGCGAAAAGGGGGAAGAAAUUCUAAUGACUUCCCCUGCCAGUACAUAGCCUCUCCACAACAAGUCCUAUGCGAUGCCUCCACGUGGAAGCAGACGGAUACUGGGUAUCAUUUUGUCCCAGGCUAAGUUCGCAAGGGCGCACGGGAAGAUGAGUCUCAAAAGCAUUGAGGAAUACUCUUAAGGCUGAACAGGAUCCUGAAGUGAGGAGGACUCCCUCUCUCAUUGAACUGCAUACAGCAGCAGAAAGCAGGAUUUCAGUUCCCCUUUGAUUCAGAAGAGGAACAACAAUGGAGGACCAAGGUCAUUAAUAUAAGAAGAGUCUAUUCCUGUCUGUGUUUUGCAGCAGAAGAAAGUUAAGACUGACUAGGAAUUCUAAGUGAGGAAGGGUCCCUUUCCCAUUCCGCUGCAGCCAUGAGGAAAAUACUCAUAAGAAUCAGACUUUACUUCUUUUUUACCUAUGGAACUUCAUCAUGACCCACUUUAAAAGGCAGGAGUCUUACAAGUAUUUUUUAUUUAAUUAUUUCUGACAUAUCUUUGUCCUCCCUACUCUAAAGUAACUAAUGAUGCUUUCCUCUCCUUGCCCCAAUAUUCCACCUUAUUCCUAGCUAUCAUAACCUUAUUGUCUUUAUUUGCUUUUUGAUUUUCAAGCUAAUAAUGUUGUAAUGAUUAUGUUCAUUUGAAUUUCUGUGAUUAUUACAUUGCUUUGUAUUAUUGCUUAUCUUCUCUCCAUCAAGUAUUUUCAAGGAAUUUGACAAGGGAAGAGGACCAGUGCUGACCAAGUGAAGAAAAAGAAGAGUCUAUUGCAAAAGCUUUGUACAGCAGCCAAUAUCUGAUUAAGGAGUGGGCAGACGGUUAUGCUGGCAUUGAUCCUGUUUCCAAAAGAAGAUCAACAUGAUUCCUCAAGACUCCAAAGAGAUCAACUAUGGGACCUGAAAAUAAAGGCAGACUGCCAUCAAUUUCAUGUUUCUUUGAUAGCAGACAAAUAUGCUUCAACAACAGUACAGAGAGUAAUUUAAGGUUUGGACUGCAAGUGAUGGACACACUAAAUAACUCGAUCAACUCGAUCAAAGAAUUCAAUGGAUAGUGCUGAGUACAUUAUCAUAUAUCUACAAAGUGAUGGGCACACUAAAUAGCUUAACUGACAGAAUUCAAUGGACCGUGCUGAAAAGAUUGUUAUAUAUCUACAAAGUGAUGGACACACUAAAUAGCUUAAAUGACAAAAUUCAAUGGACCGUGCUGAGUACAUUGUUAUCUACAAAGUGAUGGACACACUAAAUAGCUUAACUCACAGAAUCCAAUGGACAGAGUUGAGUAUGUACUAAUAUCUACAAAGUGAUGGACACAGUAAACAGCUUAAUUCUCAGGAUUCAGUGUACCAUGCUGAGUACAUAACUCAUUAAGGAUAACUCAUUUGACAUCCACAGCAGAUCAUUCAAAGUUGUGUUACUACAUUAUUGUACAACUUUUCAUAUACUACGUUAUUUUUUCUGAAUGUUUUUUUUGUAUCUGUAUAUUAUAUUUUUUAAUUUUAAAAAGUUAAAGAUUG